CAUGUCCUUCUUUUUUCCACCGGGAACAAUCAUAACACAGCUAGUAGGUCUCUUGGUGUUUGAUGCUUCACCAAGCAACUCUUUGGAAACAGUAUAUAAGUAAGGGACAUUAUUGUCUUCACAUAAUACUGGAAUAUGAGAUAUAACAUCCAUGGGAGAAAUAUCACCAGCAAGAAUUACAAGACCCUUCUCUCCUUUUCUAACAGCCUUU